GACGAACGCUGGCGGCGUGCUUAACACAUGCAAGUCGAACGGAAAGGCCCUGCUUUUGUGGGGUGCUCGUGUGGCGCACGGGUGAGUAACACGUGAGUAACCUGCCCUUGACUUUGGGAUAACUUCAGGAAACUGGGGCUAAUAUCGCAUAGGAGCUCUUGCAGCAUGGUGGUGGUUGGAAAGUUUCGGCGGUUGGGGAUGGACGCGCGGUUUAUCAGCUUGUUGGUGGGGUAGUGGCUUACCAAGGCUUUGACGGGUAGCCGGCCUGAGAGGGUGACCGGCCACAUUGGGACUGAGAUACGGCCCAGACUCCUACGGGAGGCAGCAGUGGGGAAUAUUGCACAAUGGGCGGAAGCCUGAUGCAGCAACGCCGCGUGCGGGAUGACGGCCUUCGGGUUGUAAACCGCUUUCGCCUGUGACGAAGCGUGAGUGACGGUAAUGGGUAAAGAAGCACCGGCUAACUACGUG
rnacentral:rRNA from 1 species